UUACUAAUGGUUUAGUUGGUUUAGUGAUGAUUUCUGUUUGAUUUUGGUUUUAUGAGAGUUCAUUUUGUCUUUGUUUUGUGAUGUUCCGGUAGUUUACAAUGGUUGAAUAUUAGCAAAAAUGUUCUGUUAACAUAGUGGUAAUAGUUAAAUAUAUAACGAAUUAUAUAUGUAAUGGUUUAGUUGGUUUAGUGAUGAUUUCGGUUUUAUGAGAGUUCAUUUUGUCUUUGUUUUCUGACCUAGUUCUGGAGACUGGAAGACCUUCGUUGAUCGAUCCAACGCCUUAAUCCAAUGGGUUAUAGGAACCGCUUUACUCUUUGUCCCAGCUAGUUACCUUAUCCAAGGAGGAGGAGAAUAUAAAGGGGAUGAUAAGAAGCGGCUUAAUCUUGUCACGGCUUUGUUUGAAGAAGUCAAGUCCAGGUUCCCAGAUUUCUUCCUCCCUACGAUGAUGGGAUACAUAGGUUUCUAUGUUGGGUCCUUGUGGUUCAAAAAACCAAAGUUUAAGAAGACGUUCGAAGUUUUGGGCAUUAUUUCAGGAUAUGUUUACAUUGUCGAGAUCCUCUACUAUGUUGGCUUGGAAGCCUCCGUGUACGCUGCCGUCGGCUUUGGUAUCAUCUUUUUCGUGUUGAUCGUUGCAAAGACCAUUGAGUAUUUCUGCUAGACCAGUCUGUAUCUUCUUUUUUAUAAUAAGUAUAUGUAUUUCCUUUUGUUAAACAUUAUUCGUCUGUGUGCAAAACUUUUACGUCUUCAAAACAACUAGAAAAGUUUCUUUGGAUUUUGAACCUCUGUCAUAUUUAAUGAAAUUGCACAAGGUUUUUUUUAUAUAUAUUAGGAUCUCUAUGGAAACUCAGAUGAUUGUUUGUUGGAUUAAUUUAAUUUGGAUAUCACACACCACACACACUGAUGCAAGAUAUGUGGAUUCGAUAUUUAUUUAUUUUUGGGGUUAAUGAAAGAUCCAACUCUGUUUCAUGCUUGCUUAUGGCACAUAGUAAAUGAAACGUGUAUAUUGGAAAGCAAUUUAAUUUCACUGCUCUUGGAACUAGAACUAGAGUUUGGAACUGAGACUGGUCAGAGGUAUUGCUCAAUCAGGUUGGAAAACAGAAUUUCUAGCCAAACAUGCUUGCUAAUGAAGUCUUUUUGUUUUUGUUCCACAGUGCUGCAAUGAUGGGUCUUAUGUUACACACUAAAGCAAAAAGUUUAAUAGAAAUGGAAAUGUAUUCCGAUGCAGUUGAAGUGCUUGAUAUGGCAUAGGGUCAAUUUGAAGAAGGUUUAAAGGUAUUUCAACAGCAGGUCAAUGAUAACCCCCGGGAUUUUCGACCUUACCUUUGCCAGGGCAUAGUCUAUAGCUUGAUGGAGAAAAAGGAAGAAACAGCUCAACAGUUUGAGAUAUAUUGGAGUCUUGUACCUAAAGAAUUCCCACAAAAGGGAUUUCUCGACGAUGUUGCAUUGACUGCUCAAGCCAAAUCCCUAGAACGACUUCAAAACACAUUCAAAGCUAAAUUUGCUCAGGGGAAAUAAAUCAUGAAUAGAUAAUUCCGAAUAUCCAGUUUCAGUGGUCAACGAUUCAAGGAAUCUCUUGUUCUCAAGACUGAUGAGCCUCUGUUUGUGGACUUUUUGGGCACCAUAAUGUGUAUGGUGUUAGAAGCAUCCCGACCAUCAUAUGAUCUUUGUCAAGGGUGAGAAGAAGGAUAUCACUAAUCAUUGGUGCAUGCAGUGUCUAAUUUACCACAUUAGCAACGAACGAGCAUCGUCAAAUUCUUUUAAUGUAGUGAUCACUGUUAAAAAGUCUCUCUUUUACUCUGUA